rnacentral:misc_RNA from 1 species
UUUCCGUAGGUGAACCUGCGGAGGGAUCAUUACCGAGUGAGGGUUCCGGUCCGACCUCCAACCCUUUGUGUAUCUCGACCCUGUUGCCUCGGGGGCGACCCGGCCUUCGGGCGUCUUGGGGCCCCCGGUGGACCACUCAACACUGCAUCUUUGCGUCUGAGUAAAUAUUUGAAUCAAUCAAAACUUUCAACAACGGAUCUCUUGGUUCUGGCAUCGAUGAAGAACGCAGC